rnacentral:rRNA from 1 species
UACGUAGGUGGCAAGCGUUAUCCGGAAUUACUGGGCGUAAAGCGCACGCAGGUGGUUUGCUAAGAUUGACGUGAAAGCGCCUGGCUUAACUGGGCGAGGUCGUUGAUGACUGGCAGACUUGAGGCGAGGAGAGGGGUGUAGAAUUCCCGGUGUAGUGGUGGAAUGCGUAGAUAUCAGGAGGAACACCGGUGGCGAAGGCGGGUCUCUGGGCCGAUACUGACGCUGAGGAGCGAAAGCGUGGGGAGCAAACAGG